rnacentral:misc_RNA from 1 species
CUAUAAUUGCUGAACUUGGAGAUACAGAUCCAUUCAUGGCUGCAGAUAAAUUGAUUACAAUUAAUUGCGUUGCAGUCCCGACUUUUUAUAUUAAAUACAGGAGGCAUGACACGGUUGUCUUCUGCGCAAUAUGCUGAGGCUGUCAAUCCAGUUAUUUUUGUUGGAGGGGCGUAUGAUUUUGUUCUUUUCAUUUAGGUUGAAAGGAAUGAACUUGAACAAAUUUGAAGAUCACAGGAGGAAAUGAGAUAUAAUAAGAAGUUCUCCAUAACAAAUUUUCAACUGCUUAUGACUUCAUGUACAGCUUCAUAUUUAUGAACAUAUGUAUUAUAUUUACUUUUAUUUUAAUUGG